rnacentral:rRNA from 1 species
UACGUAGGGUGCAAGCGUUAUCCGGAAUUAUUGGGCGUAAAGAGCUCGUAGGCGGUUUGUCGCGUCUGCUGUGAAAACCGGAGGCUCAACCCCCGGCCUGCAGUGGGUACGGGCAAACUAGAGUGCGGUAGGGGAGAUUGGAAUUCCUGGUGUAGCGGUGGAAUGCGCAGAUAUCAGGAGGAACACCGAUGGCGAAGGCAGAUCUCUGGGCCGUAACUGACGCUGAGGAGCGAAAGCGUGGGGAGCGAACAGG